rnacentral:lncRNA from 1 species
UUUUUAUUUAUUGAAGAAUUAUGCAAUACUUUACAAAUAUAAUAAUGUUUGCAUUAUAUUGAUCUUCAAUGAAGAACAUAUGGGUUUUGCUUUGGGGCAUCAACUUUCGUGAAACUUACAAUUAUUGAUAUUCAUCCUUGUUCAUCCAAUAAUCCUUUAAGAUCCCUGUGAUUGUUUUUAAUAAACUUCACAUACCUUGAAAAAAAUUUAAGAAUUUAAAAAAAAUCAGGGGAGCAACCAGGAAUGUGACAACAGUAUUCAUGUAUGUAUUGAUGAUUCUGUAAUAUGAGAAACAUUUUUAAAGCAACAACAAAUUGAGUGUCAAUGAUUUUUUUAAUCAAAUAAAGAACACUUAUACAUUAUAGUUAUUCCCCUGGUGGAGACAAUUUUGGGUUGUUAUGAAGAUGAUAAUACUAUUGUCACUCUCUUGUAUGGGAAUUUUUGAGGAUAUCUAAAGACUUUUUGUCUGCUUAGAAUUAAACGAAUAUAACAUGUACAAAUGUACAUGUAUGAAGAUGAUCUAGGAUUUUUUGUAAGGUACAUGUAUGUAAAUUUUUUUCAUUUGAAUUGUUUCACAUUUGAUCAUGAAUCCCUAUCACUCA